ACGCUGGCGGCAAGCCUAACACAUGCAAGUCGAGCGGUAGAGAGAAGCUUGCUUCUCUUGAGAGCGGCGGACGGGUGAGUAAUGCCUAGGAAUCUGCCUGGUAGUGGGGGAUAACGUUCGGAAACGGACGCUAAUACCGCAUACGUCCUACGGGAGAAAGCAGGGGACCUUCGGGCCUUGCGCUAUCAGAUGAGCCUAGGUCGGAUUAGCUAGUUGGUGAGGUAAUGGCUCACCAAGGCGACGAUCCGUAACUGGUCUGAGAGGAUGAUCAGUCACACUGGAACUGAGACACGGUCCAGACUCCUACGGGAGGCAGCAGUGGGGAAUAUUGGACAAUGGGCGAAAGCCUGAUCCAGCCAUGCCGCGUGUGUGAAGAAGGUCUUCGGAUUGUAAAGCACUUUAAGUUGGGAGGAAGGGCAGUUACCUAAUACGUGAUUGUUUUGACGUUACCGACAGAAUAAGCACCGGCUAACUCUGUGCCAGCAGCCGCGGUAAUACAGAGGGUGCAAGCGUUAAUCGGAAUUACUGGGCGUAAAGCGCGCGUAGGUGGUUUGUUAAGUUGGAUGUGAAAUCCCCGGGCUCAACCUGGGAACUGCAUUCAAAACUGACUGACUAGAGUGUGGUAGAGGGUGGUGGAAUUUCCUGUGUAGCGGUGAAAUGCGUAGAUAUAGGAAGGAACACCAGUGGCGAAGGCGACCACCUGGACCAACACUGACACUGAGGUGCGAAAGCGUGGGGAGCAAAC
rnacentral:rRNA from 1 species